rnacentral:rRNA from 1 species
GACAUAGGUGACGAACGUUAUCCGGAAUUAUUGGGCGUAAAGGAUGCGUAGAUGGUUCGAUAAGUUACUGGUGGGAAAUCGAGGCCCAACCUCGUGGAAGCUGGUAAUACUGUCGAGCUUGAGUGCAGGAGAGGUUAACGGAACUUUAUGUGGAGCGGUAAAAUGCGUAGAUAUAUGAAAGAACACCGGUGGCGAAGGCGGCGACCUGGUCCGUUACUGACGCUGAGGCGCGACAGCGUGGGGAGCAAACAGG